GAGGACACCGUGAAGCGUGUCAGAGGAAGAGAGAGAGAGAGAUUCCGUACAUUAGCCCCGGACAGUCUACCUUCUUGGUUCUUGCUCUGCUUCGAAAUCCGAACCCAUUCAGCUCACGAUUUUCCAUUUUGGUCACUCGGUUAUUUAAUAAGGUUUGAGAAUCUGAAAAGAAGAUAAAGUCAUUGAUGCAACUUGUGGCGGUGUUACAUAUUCAAAAGGUUGCUUUGGGGAAUACUUCUUCUUUGCAGGAAUAGUCAGCCCAGUCCAAAUGAGGUAUUUUUAAUACACAAUUUUAUCUCUAGUUUUCUCUUCUGUCUUAAGUAGAAAAAUUUUGGUAUGUAAAUUAUUCAAGAGAGGUUACCUUUUAAGUUCUUAAGUUCUAACCAUGGAAAAUGAUGUUAAAAUCUUUGGCUUCACAGUGUUGCAAAGUUUUGGUUAUUACAUGUAGAGCUUCAGGUCUAAAUCUAAAGAAAAGCUCGUCAACAUGCAAGGUUUUCUAUAUGAUAGUCCUGGGAUUUAUAUUCUUUUUUGGAACAGGGAAUUGUAGCUGAGAUUUAUAUUCAAAGGAAUAAAUAUCAAAGUCUUUGCAUUUGAUACAA